UACGUAGGGAGCGAGCGUUAUCCGGAAUUAUUGGGUGUAAAGGGUGCGUAGACGGGAAAACAAGUUAGUUGUGAAAUCCCUCGGCUUAACUGAGGAACUGCAACUAAAACUAUUUUUCUUGAGUGCAGGAGAGGUAAGUGGAAUUCCUAGUGUAGCGGUGAAAUGCGUAGAUAUUAGGAGGAACACCAGUGGCGAAGGCAACUUACUGGACUGUAACUGACGUUGAGGCACGAAAGUGUGGGGAGCAAACAGG
rnacentral:rRNA from 1 species